rnacentral:rRNA from 1 species
CCUACGGGUGGCAGCAGUGAGGAAUAUUGGUCAAUGGGCGCGAGCCUGAACCAGCCAAGUAGCGUGAAGGAUGACUGCCCUACGGGUUGUAAACUUCUUUUAUAAAGGUAUAAAGUGAGGCACGUGUGCCUUUUUGUAUGUACUUUAUGAAUAAGGAUCGGCUAACUCCGUGCCAGCAGCCGCGGUAAUACGGAGGAUCCGAGCGUUAUCCGGGUUUAUUGGGGUUAAAGUGAGCGUAGAUGGGGUGUUAAGUCAGUUGGGAAAGUUUGCGACUCAACCGGAAAAUGUAAAUUGAUACUGGCAGUCUUGAGUACAGUUGAGGUAGGCGGAAUUCGUGGUGUAGCGGUGAAAUGCUUAGAUAUCACGAAGAACUCCGAUUGCGAAGGCAGCUUACUAAACUGCCACUGACAUUGAUGCUCGAAAGUGUGGGUAUCAAACAGGAUUAGAUACCCGGGUAGUC